AAAUGCUGGGUAAGGAAAACUGUGAAUGCUUAGGGACUUGCUAGCACUUGCUCAAGCUUCUUGGGGGCUGGUGACCCAGUAUUGCUUGGCAGAGAAAAGCUCAUACAGGAUGGGGAGCAGAGCAAAUGGACUCAGGAGGACAACGUCGGCAGGCUUCCGGUCACCGGCUACCAGCCCUGCAGAUGUGAAUUUAGCCUCAUCUUCGUCUCCUUCACUCAGCAGCAGCCAAUCUGCAAGGACUCUACUGGCUACCACACAGAGCUCGGUGAAACAAUCAAGCAAAAGCCGUGGUGGAGAGGAGCAAGAAGCCCUGAAAGCAGACCAGGUCCGGCAGGACACGGUCUGGAGAGAGUUUGUGGAGGCCGAAAGAAGGGCGACGAAAUAUUGGUACCGGAACUGGAGUUUCUUAAAGGACUACGAUCCAUUGGGCAGGAUAAAAGAACCUGAGCAGCUUCCUGAAUACAUGUCAGUUUUCUCAGACAAAAUUCCCAACACCAGCGGACAUGUUAUUGGCAGCAGAAUGAACACAGAUCUCGGCAAAACACUAGUAAAAAUGGAUUACUUCCUCAACUAUGGAAGAAGAAAAAAUAAACUUGGACAGGAACUCCAGGCUUCCUAGAAUCAGAAAAAAGAAUUCUACUCCCCUCUUUUAGAAGAGGAACUACUGCUCUAACUACAACCACCUACAACCAAAAACAAUAACAUACUUUCUCUCUCUCUAUAUAUAUGCCAUAUUUCCAAAGGCUAGUUGAAAUUCUAUCCAAGUAAGGCAUUUAGUGAUUUCAAAGUGGACACCUGAGAACAUGCGGAUCACAUUUAAUAUUUUUAGUUUCAACGUUUUAAGAAGUUUAUGCAGCUGAAUCACAUUCCAAAAGCUUAAUCUGUGUUGAGUUAUGUUAGAGAACCAGGAGGUCUAUCUUUACCAAAUCUGUCAUAUUUUGGCAGCUUAUAUUUGCUCUAUGAAAAACUAUGAGCCGUCUACAUUAUCUGCCCACAGGCAGUUGCCAUCAUUAUAUUAUAUUCAUUGCAUCAAAGAGAACCAAAACAACUUUCACAGUGAUAUAGUGACCUGUGAAAGGACAUGAAAUUUAACAGCUAUGCAAGUGAGAAAUGAUUUCAUUCAAGGUUACAGUUUGUUCCAAAUUUGACCUUGCAUUCUGCCUAAGUUGUUGUGGGGAACAGAAAGCAGUCGUGACCUCCUAGCAGACAGUGCUGGCCAGAAGGCUGGCUGGCAGCUUCUGAGCAGAUUGUUAAGAAAGCAAUUUGCAACGAUUUUGUACAAGAUCUUCAGAGCAGGGAGAACCAAAGCUGUGCUUUCCCGAUGUUUGCUGGACCGCAAAUCUCAUCAGCCCCAGGCAGCAAGAAUAAUGGGAGCUGGAGUCAAACAUCAUUUGGAGGGGACCCUGAUCUAGAGUCCUAGGACAUUAUUUGAAGGUCCAUGAGGCCACCACUUUGCUGAAGGUAAGCGGAUCUGGAUCAGCCCAAUGCCUGGAUGGGAGUCUGACUGGGAAAUAAGAGUCAUGGAAGAUUGGCUGUACAAUGAAGGGUGAGUUUCUCUCAAACGAAAAAAACAUGGAUUGCUUCUACGUAUCUGCAGCCUUCAGCACCUAUUGACUACAACUUCUCUUUACCCUGUAGUUAUAGCUCCUUUAUGAACUAUCACCAGUUCACCAUCUUUCUUACGCAAAGUGGUCCAGAACAUUACAUAGCAAAGAUCUGGUGGUGCCAAACAGGGGGUGCUUUGAGUGUACAAAGGCAAUCCCUCUCACUGAGAAAAAGUUUCAGGACAGGUCUGUGGAUGGGCAUACCCAAUCAAAGACUAGGAUAGUCCCUGUUGUGUCCAGUGCUGGAAGUGGGUGUUUAAGACUGAGCUGAAGGCCUGAUGCGCAAUGGCAGAAGAAACUGACCUGUUGUCCAGAUAAGGACAGAAAGUGAAGAUCCUGGAAUCGAUAAUGUCAAAUUAAAGAGCUUAAGAACUCUGCCCUUCCUAAGCAACUUAAAGGAAGCUGUGUUGGCCUAUGAAGUGGGUGGGGGAAUAAUACACUAUCUUGAAAAUGGCGUAACUUCUUGUACUUUUUUAUUUCUUCUCAUCCCUGCCCUGCACUUUGUGUAAUGUCUUGACAGAUGAAGAGUUCAGGAGAACUUGAAGGCUUGCCGCUAUGUUAUGGAAUUUUGGUUGGUCCCAAUAAAGUGUAUUGACGUCUCAAUGAAUACAUCAAACGGCUUCCUGUGAUGAGGAACAUCUACAUUUGCAAUGUGUUGGGAAUCCUGGAAAGGAGCCUUGAAAUAAAUUUUCCCAGCAUCAA